GAUUUUUUUUAUAUACAAUUCUGCUAGGAAAUAAAAAAAAGAGUACAGCCAACUCUUGUCAACUUUACUGGACCGGACCCGGAGCCCAUUUCACGGUAGAAGCAAAAAGCAACAUCCCAAUUUAACUACCGUGAACCAAAUUAACCCUAAUAAACCCCACCUUUCACCGUGUGACUGAAGAAUCAUCCAAAAUCCCCAAACUGCAUCGCCUCCCUCCCACCUUCGUUGUGCGCCUUUCCUGCCCACCGUCAACCCAGGUGAGCCGCUCCAUUCCGUUCCAACUGAGAGACACCGCCGGGGUCAGACACUCAGCGAAGCCCGCCGCUGCUGCCGCAUGUCAUGGUCGCGGCGUCAUUGAAACAAAAUCCCCAACCUGCAGCGCCUCCCUCCCACCUUUGUCGUGCGCCUUCCCUGCCCGCCGUCAAUCCAGGUGAGCCGCUCCGUUCCGUUCCAACUGCGAGACAUUGCCGGGGUCAGACGCUCGGCGAAGCCCACCGCUGCUGCUACAUGUCGUCAUCGCGGCGUCGUUGAAGCUCAGCCUAGCCUUCCGCGACUGCUGCAUGUCGUCAUCGCCGCACCACUGAAGCUCGAAGGUCCCUCGCGUGUUCUGCCCCAACGGACGCUGCGUCAGACUCCUCCAAGUGGCGCCAUGAAGCAUCGUUGAAAGCACUCCUCGGUAGCGGAUAUUUACAGAUUAUAAAGCUACCCCAAUUGUGCUGCCGAACAGAGAAGCGAGAUGGGGAAAAAGAAAUUAUUAGAGUCGCAAUGCUCGCCCAACUACAUUCAUGAUAUGAUGAGCCAGCUCACUAAAAACAAUGCGGUUGAAAAGCUUGCAGAGAUAGAUGAAAUUGGCUUCGGAUUCUUGAGGCUUAUUCCGUAUUGAGCGAUGAAGCAAUACAUCAUGGUUUGUCUGGCUGAAUUGUACGAUGUUGAGAAAAGCACCUUGAUAGUCGACGUUGGCAACAUCCGCCUCAAUGCCAAAUUAAUCGGGCGGAUCUUCGACAUUCUAUCUCGUGGCAAUGAAUUCCCAUCCCUGGACGACAAAAGUCCGGCGCACGUGGCCAUCAAAAGGAGGUUCCAUAGACGAACAACAACUGAACUCCGGGAUUUGGUAUAUGUAUCUUAUGAAUGGUGUUUAUGUUGUCUCUAAUACUUUAAUACUUUAAUCAUUCAUGGCCUUUUUAUGUAAUCAAUCUACUCGACUGGUUUCUGUAUUGGUUUAAAUCAUCGACUAGCUUUGCAUAAGUUUAUUAGGUUCAUUUCAAUGUACUUGGAUGUUUCUUUACCCAACA